GGGAGCCGCCGCGCCAGGCGCCCGCUGGCCAUGAGCGCCCAUCCCGUCCAGGGGCUGCCCCUGCUGCCGGGCAGCGCCUUCAGCGACCCCACGAAAUCGGCUUUCCAUCGCUCCCAGACACUGGGCUAUAGGAAUGGCUUUGCCUGUUCACGGCUACCGACGAUGGGGAUAGGCAGGGAGCGACUCUAUGUGAACCAGCUGUCCCAGGCCGAAUUAGACGAACUGUCCAACAAGAGACCCACGCUGACCUACGGGCAAGCCAAGCAGGCCCCACCUUCCGACUUCAUUCCAGCACAUGUGGCUUUUGACAAAAAGGUGUUGAAGUUUGAUGCCUAUUUCCAGGAAGAUGUUCCUAUAUCCACAGAAGAGCAUUUCCGGAUCCGCCAAGUGGGUAUUUAUUACUACUUGGAGGACGACAGCAUGUCUGUCAUGGAGCCCAUUGUGGAGAACUCGGGUAUUCCUCAGGGCAAGCUCAUCAAACGCCAGCGGAUACCCAAGAAUGACCGAGGGGACCAUUACCACUGGAAAGACCUGAAUCGGGGCAUGAACAUCACCAUCUAUGGCAAGACUUUCCGCAUAGUCGACUGUGACCCUUUCACACAGGUAUUUCUGGAGAGCCAAGGAAUUGAACUGAACCCUCCUGAGAAAAUGAUUUUCGACCCGUACACGGAGCUCCGGAAGAUGCCCAUGCGCAUGUACGUCACGCCGUCGAGCUUUGACCAGCUCAAACAGUUUCUGACCUUUGACAAGCAGGUCCUUCGCUUCUACGCCAUAUGGGACGACACCGAGAACAUGUUUGGCGAGAACCGGCCUUUCAUCAUCCAUUUCUACCUGGCUGACGACACGGUGGAGGUUCGGGAACUCCACGAACGCAACGAUGGCAGAGACCCUUUCCCGGUGCUGAUCAGACGCCAGCGCUUGCCCAAAAGCUUUGUGGACAAGAUGAAAACCUUCCCCCGCUGCGUGCUGGAGAUCUCCAAUCAGGAGGUGCUGGAGUGGUACACUGUUAAAGAUUUUGCCGUUGGCAAGCCCAUCACCCUCCUAGGGCGCAGCUUCUUCAUCUACGACUGUGAUGAGUUCACAAGACAGUUCUAUUACGAGAAGUUUGGCAUCACUGACUUCCAGCCGGUGGAUGUAAAGAAGAAGCCACCAGAGGAAGUGCCACAGAUCAUUCCUCCCUACAAUGGUUACGGCUUCCUGGAAGACUCCCUGCAGAACUGCUUCUCCCUACUGCCGCAGCCUCCCAGGAAAAACUUUAUUAAGAUGCUAGAGAAUGACCACAAGGUGCUGCGCUAUCAGGUUGCACUGGAAUCGCCAAACCCUGAGGAGAGAAAGCGCCAGUUCAUCCUCUCCUAUUUCCUCUCCACUGACAUGAUCAGCAUCUAUGAGCCGCCUGUCCGCAAUUCAGGCAUCAUUGGAGGCAAAUACUUAGGAAAGACCAAAGUCCCCAAGCCAGGCUCCACUACAGAUAACCCUGUUUACUAUGAGCCAGCGGACCUCACCAUCGGUGCCACGGUUGAAGUGUUUGGCCACAGGUUUAUCAUCACCGAUGCGGACGAGUACGUCUUGAAUUACAUGGAAAGCAACGCCGAGAGUUUCCCUGCAACAACGCUGCAGUCUCUGCGGGAUCACUUUGCCCCUCGACGAAUGGCCGUGCAGGCAGCUGAGAGCCAGUCAGCAGCGGGGAUGGGCAGGCAGGAACUGGAAGAGGUAGUGAAGCAGGUUCAGGAGCAGCUGAAGCACCAUAACUACUUGAGUAACAGCAGCAUGCGGGAGGCGUUCCUUCACCACGACAAGGAUGGCUCCGGAUUCCUCGACAAAGAAGAGUUCUUUGCCCUCUGCAACCGCUUCAACCUGCCGGUCAGCAACGCCCUGGUUAACAAGCUGAUCAGCCUGUGUUCGCAUGGGGAGAACCAGAUCAGUUACCAUGACUUCAUCAGAGCGUUUUCCUGCUGAGUAGCCCCCAGAAGGGGAGACACAACCCAGCCAACUGUCCCAGCUGAAAUGACACAUAUUCAAAGGUUGUCUCUUCCUGGGCUCUGAGGCGGGACGGGGUGGACUGGAUGGAUUGAGAGCUCCAGGCCUUUCAUACAGACUGCCCGAGGAGGACUGACAAUCUCCCGAGAAGCAAAAAGCAACUGGGCACCAUUUCAAUUUAUGAUGUUGCUGCAGAAGGG